rnacentral:rRNA from 1 species
CAAUAGCGUAUAUUAAAGUUGUUGCGGUUAAAAAGCUCGUAGUUGGAUUUCUGCCGAGGACGACCGGUCCGCCCUCUGGGUGAGCAUCUGGCUCGGCCUGGGCAUCUUCUUGGAGAACGUAUCUGCACUUGACUGUGUGGUGCGGUAUUCAGGACUUUUACUUUGAGGAAAUUAGAGUGUUUCAAGCAGGCACACGCCUUGAAUACAUUAGCAUGGAAUAAUAAGAUAGGACCUCGGUUCUAUUUUGUUGGUUUCUAGAUCUGAGGUAAUGAUUAAUAGGGAUAGUUGGGGGCAUUCGUAUUUAACUGUCAGAGGUGAAAUUCUUGGAUUUGUUGAAGACGGACUACUGCGAAAGCAUUUGCCAAGGAUGUUUUCAUUGA